AUUCAUUUUACGCUCGCCGCAUACUCAAUUAGACAAUCUCUGCAGCUCGACUCGAAGUCAUUCGCAAUAUCAGAAGCAAUAGCCGACCUUCGUUUUUCCAGUUCGACUAUUUGACGAUCGAGGUCGGCCAAGGCUUCCCCUUUCACCUUUAAAGCAUCAAUCUUCGGACGAAGAGCGUCUUGGACGACCAUGGCAGCUUUCAGAUCUUGUUCAGCCUGAAGAGCGUUCUCAAGGACACUAAAAGUCUUCCGAACUCGCUCUAAGGCAGACGACGCCUAAA
rnacentral:lncRNA from 1 species